rnacentral:rRNA from 1 species
UACAGAGACUGCAAGCGUUAUUCGGAUUCACUGGGCGUAAAGGGUGCGCAGGCGGCCAAGUGUGUUAGGCGUGAAAGCCCGGGGCUUAACCCCGGAAUUGCACCUAAAACUACAUGGCUAGAGCAUUGGAGAGGGUAGCGGAAUUCACGGUGUAGCAGUGAAAUGCGUAGAUAUCUGGAGGAACACCGGUGGCGAAGGCGGCGUCCUGGACCAACACUGACACUGAUGAGCGAAAGCCAGGGGAGCAAACGGG